CCUACGGGAGGCAGCAGUGGGGAAUAUUGGGCAAUGGGCGCAAGCCUGACCCAGCAACGCCGCGUGAAGGAAGAAGGCUUUCGGGUUGUAAACUUCUUUUCUCAGGGACGAAGCAAGUGACGGUACCUGAGGAAUAAGCCACGGCUAACUACGUGCCAGCAGCCGCGGUAAUACGUAGGUGGCAAGCGUUAUCCGGAUUUACUGGGUGUAAAGGGCGUGUAGGCGGGAAAGCAAGUCAGAUGUGAAAACCAUGGGCUCAACCUGUGGCCUGCAUUUGAAACUGUUUUUCUUGAGUACUGGAGAGGCAGACGGAAUUCCUAGUGUAGCGGUGAAAUGCGUAGAGAUUAGGAGGAACACCAGUGGCGAAGGCGGUCUGCUGGACAGCAACUGACGCUGAGGCGCGAAAGCGUGGGGAGCAAACAGGAUUAGAUACCUGAGUAGUC
rnacentral:rRNA from 1 species